rnacentral:rRNA from 1 species
AACGAACGCUGGCGGCGUGCCUAACACAUGCAAGUCGAGCGGGUCCUUCGUAGCAAUACGGAGGAUCAGCGGCGCACGGGUGAGUAACACGUGAGUAAUCUGCCUUCAAGACUGGGACAACCUGCCGAAAGGCGGGCUAAUACCGGAUAAGACCACAGGGACGUUGGUCCUCGGGGUCAAAGAUGGCCCCUAUUUAUAAGCUAUUACUUGGAGAUGAGCUCGCGGCCCAUCAGCUAGUUGGUAGGGUAAUGGCCUACCAAGGCUAUGACGGGUAGCUGGUCUGAGAGGACGACCAGCCACACUGGAACUGAGACACGGUCCAGACUCCUACGGGAGGCAGCAGUGGGGAAUAUUGCGCAAUGGGGGAAACCCUGACGCAGCAACGCCGCGUGGGUGAUGAAGGCCUUCGGGUCGUAAAGCCCUGUCAGCGGGAAAGAAACUCCGAGGAGCGAAUAGGUCUUCGGAUUGACGGUACCCGCGGAGGAAGCACCGGCUAACUCCGUGCCAGCCGCCGCAGUAA